GCCUACCCCUGGUGUAGUAGUUUGAACGUUGGCCUGUGGCUCUGGUGACCAGGGUUCAAAUCCCUGUUUGGGCA